UAGGGAAUCUUCCGCAAUGGGCGAAAGCCUGACGGAGCAACGCCGCGUGAGUGAUGAAGGUCUUCGGAUCGUAAAACUCUGUUAUUAGGGAAGAACAAAUGUGUAAGUAACUAUGCACGUCUUGACGGUACCUAAUCAGAAAGCCACGGCUAACUACGUGCAAGCAGCCGCGGUAAUACGUAGGUGGCAAGCGUUAUCCGGAAUUAUUGGGCGUAAAGCGCGCGUAGGCGGUUUUUUAAGUCUGAUGUGAAAGCCCACGGCUCAACCGUGGAGGGUCAAUGGAAACUGGAAAACUUGAGUGCAGAAGAGGAAAGUGGAAUUCCAUGUGGAGCGGUGAAAUGCGCAGGGAUAUGGAGGGACACCAGUUGCGAAGGCGACUUUCUGGUCUGUAACUGACGCUGAUGUGCGAAAGCGUGGGGAUCAAACAGG
rnacentral:rRNA from 1 species